GUGGGGAAUCUUCCGCAAUGGACGAAAGUCUGACGGAGCAACGCCGCGUGAGUGAUGAAGGUCUUCGGAUUGUAAAGCUCUGUUAAUCGGGACGAAAGAGCCUAGUGUGAAUAAUGCUAGGAAGUGACGGUACCGGAAUAGAAAGCCACGGCUAACUACGUGCCAGCAGCCGCGGUAAUACGUAGGUGGCAAGCGUUGUCCGGAAUUAUUGGGCGUAAAGCGCGCGCAGGCGGAUCUGCCAGUCUGUCUUAAAAGUUCGGGGCUUAACCCCGUGAUGGGAUGGAAACUACAGAUCUAGAGUAUCGGAGAGGAAAGUGGAAUUCCUAGUGUAGCGGUGAAAUGCGUAGAUAUUAGGAAGAACACCAGUGGCGAAGGCGACUUUCUGGACGAUGUCUGACGCUGAGGCACGAAAGCUAGGGGAGCGAACGGGAUUAGAAACCCUGGUAGUCC
rnacentral:rRNA from 1 species